UUCAUCUCUGGCUAAAGUUACAUUGCUCUGUUUACAGGAAUUGAGGAUUCACCGGAAGGAAAAGGAGAAAAGCAGAAUCUGAUGGUUUUAGUGAGACUGUGCUUGGUGAGAUGCAGGAUGAUGGUUUGUGUUCUGGUCCUGUGCCAGGAGCAAGGCAAGCAUGCAUCCAAUGACAGUCAGCUUCACUGAUAUGCAUUACACAUCAAUUAAAAAAAAAAAAAAAAAGGAAAGAAAAGAUAAGAUAAGCCAAGGACCAGCGAUAUGUGUGAAACUUCUGCUUUUAUAAGGUCUUCAGCUUGCUUGCUUUCCCAAUACAUAGCUGUUCGUUCGCAACCACAUCAACAAACAGAGUCAUCUGACAAGUCACGACUCAGACUUUAUUGCAGUGAAGUGUCCCAUGAGCAGUCUCCUGCAAGUACCUAAUUCUCUUGGCUGACUGCAGAGAGUUUGUAGAAGGAUGAGCUCAGUUGUCUCACUUUUUGACCGCUACAUGGACAGAUCAGUCCCAUCCCCAAAGUCAGGCUGAAUCUCCUGGAGAAGCAAGAACAAGUUAGAAGUUGAUUUGAAGGUAACUCCUGGCAAGAGCCCCGGUUAUACCUG